UGAGGAAUAUUGGUCAAUGGUCGCUAGACUGAACCAGCCAAGUAGCGUGCGGGAUGAAGGCCCUCCGGGUCGUAACCCGCUUUUAGACGGGGAUAAAAGGGCGUACGUGUACGCCGUAUUGCAUGUACCGUCAGAAAAACGGACCGGCUAAUUCCGUGCCAGCAGCCGCGGUAAUACGGAAGGUCCGGGCGUUAUCCGGAUUUAUUGGGUUUAAAGGGAGCGUAGGCGGACUUUCAAGUCAGUGGUAAAAUCGUGUGGCUCAACCAUACCUCGCCAUUGAAACUGGAAGUCUGGAGUGCACACAGGGGUGCCGGAAUUCAUGGUGUAGCGGUGAAAUGCUUAGAUAUCAUGAAGAACUCCGAUCGCGAAGGCAAGUGCCCGGGGUGCAACUGACGCUGAGGCUCGAAGGUGCGGGUAUCGAACAGGAUUAGAUACC
rnacentral:rRNA from 1 species